AUCCUUAUCUGGCAGGCGAGGUCCCGGAUCACAAAGGUUGCUUCUCCAGGGCAAGGCUCAUCCACUGCACCACAGAUGUGCCGGUCCUGUGACUUCCCCAGCUGUGGGAAACUCGACUGCAUAACUUGUGGUAGCGGGGGCCUGCGUUCAUGCUUUCCCCUA